GAUGAACGCUGGCGGCGUGCCUAAUACAUGCAAGUCGAGCGAACAGACGAGGAGCUUGCUCCUCUGACGUUAGCGGCGGACGGGUGAGUAACACGUAGAUAACCUACCUAUAAGACUGGGAUAACUUCGGGAAACCGGAGCUAAUACCGGAUAAUAUAUUGAACCGCAUGGUUCAAUAGUGAAAGACGGUUUUGCUGUCACUUAUAGAUGGAUCCGCGCCGCAUUAGCUAGUUGGUAAGGUAACGGCUUACCAAGGCAACGAUGCGUAGCCGACCUGAGAGGGUGAUCGGCCACACUGGAACUGAGACACGGUCCAGACUCCUACGGGAGGCAGCAGUAGGGAAUCUUCCGCAAUGGGUGAAAGCCUGACGGAGCAACGCCGCGUGAGUGAUGAAGGUCUUCGGAUCGUAAAACUCUGUUAUUAGGGAAGAACAAAUGUGUAAGUAACUAUGCACGUCUUGACGGUACCUAAUCAGAAAGCCACGGCUAACUACGUG
rnacentral:rRNA from 1 species